GCCUUCAUGGCUCAGUCGGCAGAGCAUCCCCCUAGUAAGGGGAAGGUCAUCGGUUCGAUUCCGAUUGAAGGCA
rfam:Anaeromyces robustus strain S4 BCR32scaffold_308, whole genome shotgun sequence.